rnacentral:rRNA from 1 species
UACGAAGGGAGCUAGCGUUGUUCGGAAUCACUGGGCGUAAAGCGCGCGUAGGCGGCGAUACAAGUCAGGGGUGAAAUACCUGGGCUCAACCCAGGAACUGCCUCUGAAACUGUAUUGCUUGAGUGUCGGAGGGGAUAGCGGAAUUUCUAAUGUAGCGGUGAAAUGCGUAGAUAUUAGAAGGAACACCGAUGGCGAAGGCAGCUAUCUGGACGACAACUGACGCUGAGGCGCGAAAGCGUGGGGAUCAAAC